rnacentral:rRNA from 1 species
GUUGUAUGGUUAAGUGACUAAGCGUACACGGUGGAUGCCUUGGCAGUUGGAGGCGAUGAAGGACGUACUAACUUGCGAUAAGCCUAGUCAAGCCAGUAAGAGGCGCUUGAGACUAGGAUUUCCGAAUGGGGAAACCCACCUGCUUGCAGGUAUCGUUAACUGAAUACAUAGGUUAACGAGGCGAACGCGGAGAACUGAAACAUCUAAGUACCCGUAGGAAAAGAAAUCAACCGAGAUUCCGAAAGUAGCGGCGAGCGAAAUCGGAGCAGCCCUUAAGCUUUAGUGUAGUUAGUGGAACAUGUUGGAAAGCAUGACGAAACAGGGUGAUAGUCCCGUACACAAAAACUUAUCUAAAGUGAAAUCGAGUAGGUCGGAGCACGUGAAACUUUGACUGAAUAUGGGGGGACCAUCCUCCAAGGCUAAAUACUCCCAACUGACCGAUAGUGAACCAGUACCGUGAGGGAAAGGCGAAAAGAACCCCUGUGAGGGGAGUGAAAUAGAACCUGAAACCGUGUACGUACAAGCAGUAGGAGCCUACUUGUUGGGUGACUGCGUACCUUUUGUAUAAUGGGUCAGCGACUUAUAUUCUGUAGCGAGGUUAACCAUUUAGGGGAGCCGUAGCGAAAGCGAGUCUUAACUGGGCGCUUAAGUUGCAGGGUAUAGACCCGAAACCCGGUGAUCUAGCCAUGGGCAGGUUGAAGGUUGAGUAACAUCAACUGGAGGACCGAACCCACUAACGUUGAAAAGUUAGGGGAUGACCUGUGGCUAGGAGUGAAAGGCUAAUCAAACCGGGAGAUAGCUGGUUCUCCCCGAAAUCUAUUUAGGUAGAGCCUCGGACGAAUACUUACGGGGGUAGAGCACUGUUAAGGCUAGGGGGUCAUCCCGACUUACCAACCCUUUGCAAACUCCGAAUACCGUAAAGUAAUAUCCGGGAGACACACGGCGGGUGCUAACGUCCGUCGUGGAGAGGGAAACAACCCAGACCGUCAGCUAAGGUCCCAAAGUGUAUGUUAAGUGGGAAACGAUGUGGGAAGGCUAAAACAGCUAGGAGGUUGGCUUAGAAGCAGCCACCCUUUAAAGAAAGCGUAAUAGCUCACUAGUCGAGUCGGCCUGCGCGGAAGAUGUAACGGGGCUAAACAUACCACCGAAGCUACGGCUGCAGACUUAGUCUGCGGGGUAGGGGAGCGUUCUGUAAGUGGCUGAAGGUGUGCCGGGAGGCAUGCUGGACAUAUCAGAAGUGCGAAUGCUGACAUGAGUAACGACAAGAGGAGUGAAAAACUCCUCCGCCGGAAGACCAAGGGUUCCUAUCCCAUGUUAAUCAGGGUAGGGUGAGUCGACCCCUAAGGCGAGGCUGAAGAGCGUAGUCGAUGGGAAACGGGUUAAUAUUCCCGUACUCGGUAUGAAUGCGAUGGGGGGACGGAGCAGGCUAGGCAAGCAUGGCGUUGGUUGUCCAUGUGAAAGGCUGUAGGCUGGUGACUUAGGAAAAUCCGGGUUGCUAAGGCUGAGAGUCGAGACGAGCCACUAAGGUGGUGAAGUUGUUGAUGCCCUACUUCCAGGAAAAGCCUCUAAGCUUCAGUUCAUACUGAAUCGUACCCUAAACCGACACAGGUGGUCAGGUAGAGAAUACUAAGGCGCUUGAGAGAACUCGGGUGAAGGAACUAGGCAAAAUUGUACCGUAACUUCGGGAGAAGGUACGCUCUUGUUUGUGAAAGACUUGCUCUGUAAGCAAACGAGAGCCGCAGUGACCAGGUGGCUGGGACUGUUUAUUAAAAACACAGCACUGUGCAAAAUCGUAAGAUGACGUAUACGGUGUGACACCUGCCCGGUGCCGGAAGGUUAAUUGAUGGGGUUAGCUUAGGCGAAGCUCUUGAUCGAAGCCCCGGUAAACGGCGGCCGUAACUAUAACGGUCCUAAGGUAGCGAAAUUCCUUGUCGGGUAAGUUCCGACCUGCACGAAUGGUGUAACCAUGGCCACGCUGUCUCCACCCGAGACUCAGUGAAAUUGAAAUCGCAGUGAAGAUGCUGUGUACCCGCGGCUAGACGGAAAGACCCCGUGAACCUUUACUACAGCUUGGCACUGAACAUUGACCCUACAUGUGUAGGAUAGGUGGGAGGCUUUGAAGCAGAGACGCUAGUUUCUGUGGAGCCGACCUUGAAAUACCACCCUUGUAGUGUUGAUGUUCUAACUUAGGCCCCUGAAUCGGGGUUGAGGACAGUGCCUGGUGGGUAGUUUGACUGGGGCGGUCUCCUCCCAAAGAGUAACGGAGGAGCACGAAGGUUUGCUAAGUACGGUCGGACAUCGUACGGUUAGUGUAAUGGUAGAAGCAAGCUUAACUGCGAGACAGACACGUCGAGCAGGUACGAAAGUAGGUCAUAGUGAUCCGGUGGUUCUGAAUGGAAGGGCCAUCGCUCAACGGAUAAAAGGUACUCCGGGGAUAACAGGCUGAUACCGCCCAAGAGUUCAUAUCGACGGCGGUGUUUGGCACCUCGAUGUCGGCUCAUCACAUCCUGGGGCUGAAGUCGGUCCCAAGGGUAUGGCUGUUCGCCAUUUAAAGUGGUACGCGAGCUGGGUUUAGAACGUCGUGAGACAGUUCGGUCCCUAUCUGCCGUGGGCGUUUGAGAAUUGAGAGGGGCUGCUCCUAGUACGAGAGGACCGGAGUGGACGAACCGCUGGUGUUCGGGUUGUGAUGCCAAUUGCAUUGCCCGGUAGCUACGUUCGGAACUGAUAACCGCUGAAAGCAUCUAAGCGGGAAGCAGGCCUCGAGAUGAGUUCUCACUUUGACUUAGAGUCAACUGAAGGGCCGUUGAAGACUACAACGUUGAUAGGCGAGAUGUGGAAGUGCUGUGAGGCAUUAAGCUAACUCGUACUAAUUACCCGUGAGGCUUAACCAUACAACGCCAAAGUGGUUU